rnacentral:rRNA from 1 species
UACGGGGGGGGGCAAGCGUUGUUCGGAAUUACUGGGCGUAAAGGGCUCGUAGGCGGCCAACUAAGUCGGACGUGAAAUCCCCAGGCUCAACCUGGGAACUGCGUCCGAUACUGGAUGGCUUGAAUCCGGGAGAGGGAUGCAGAAUUCCAGGUGUAGCGGUGAAAUGCGCAGAUAUCAGGAAGAACACCAAUGGCGAAAGCAGCUUUCUGGGACGGUACUGACGCUGAGACGCGAAAGCGUGGGGAGCGAACAGG